rnacentral:rRNA from 1 species
CCAACAGGGAUUGCCUCAGUAACGGCGAGUGAAGCGGCAACAGCUCAAAUUUGAAAUCUGCCGCAAGGCCGAGUUGUAAUUUGUAGAGGAUGCUUCUGGGCAGCGGCCGGUCUAAGUUCCUUGGAACAGGACGUCAUAGAGGGUGAGAAUCCCGUAUGCGACCGGUUGGCACCCGUCACGUAGCUUCCUUCGACGAGUCGAGUUGUUCGGGAAUGCAGCUCUAAAUGGGUGGUAAAUUCCAUCUAAAGCUAAAUACCGGCCAGAGACCGAUAGCGCACAAGUAGAGUGAUCGAAAGAUGAAAAGCACUUUGGAAAGAGAGUUAAAAAGCACGUGAAAUUGUUGAAAGGGAAGCGCAU